rnacentral:rRNA from 1 species
AUUGAACGCUGGCGGCAGGCCUAACACAUGCAAGUCGAGCGGAUGAAGGGAGCUUGCUCCUGGAUUCAGCGGCGGACGGGUGAGUAAUGCCUAGGAAUCUGCCUGGUAGUGGGGGAUAACGUCCGGAAACGGGCGCUAAUACCGCAUACGUCCUGAGGGAGAAAGUGGGGGAUCUUCGGACCUCACGCUAUCAGAUGAGCCUAGGUCGGAUUAGCUAGUUGGUGGGGUAAAGGCCUACCAAGGCGACGAUCCGUAACUGGUCUGAGAGGAUGAUCAGGCACACUGGAACUGAGACACGGUCCAGACUCCUACGGGAGGCAGCAGUGGGGAAUAUUGGACAAUGGGCGAAAGCCUGAUCCAGCCAUGCCGCGUGUGUGAAGAAGGUCUUCGGAUUGUAAAGCACUUUAAGUUGGGAGGAAGGGCAGUAAGUUAAUACCUUGCUGUGUUGACGUUACCAACAGAAUAAGCACCGGCUAACUUCGUG